rnacentral:ncRNA from 1 species
CGUACGAAACGGCAAAGCUAUUGAAAAAUGGUGACGCAAAACUAAAGGGGCUAAUGUUUUUUUAACGAUGCCAGCCAGUUACCGAA